rnacentral:misc_RNA from 1 species
AGUUCUCAACCAUCACAAUGUGAUGGAUUGGACUGCUGGGAUUUGCAGGCUUUGAAAAUAAGGUCUGCUUUCCUGAAAUGAAUCAGUGGCGUCUGAGCAUGAGGGGGGACCACUACAGGUUGUAUUUAUGCCUCUUGUAAAAUCUCCCUUGCCCAAGGCUGCUUUCAACGGAUUAUCAAUUGACA